CAGGAUGAACGCUAGCGGCAGGCUUAACACAUGCAAGUCGAGGGUCAGCGGGGAGUAGCAAUACUCCGCCGGCGACCGGCGCACGGGUGCGUAACGCGUAUGCAACCUACCUUUAACAGGGGCAUAACACUGAGAAAUUGGUACUAAUUCCCCAUAACAUUCGAGAAGGCAUCUUCUUGGGUUAAAAACUCCGGUGGUUAAAGAUGGGCAUGCGUUGUAUUAGCUAGUUGGUGAGGUAACGGCUCACCAAGGCAACGAUACAUAGGGGGACUGAGAGGUUAACCCCCCACAUUGGUACUGAGACACGGACCAAACUCCUACGGGAGGCAGCAGUGAGGAAUAUUGGUCAAUGGACGCAAGUCUGAACCAGCCAUGCCGCGUGCAGGAAGACAGCUCUAUGAGUUGUAAACUGCUUUUGUACUAUGGUAAACGCUCCUACGUGUAGGAGUCUGAAAGUAUAGUACGAAUAAGGAUCGGCUAACUCCGUGCCAGCAGCCGCGGUAAUACGGAGGAUCCAAGCGUUAUCCGGAUUUAUUGGGUUUAAAGGGUGCGUAGGCGGUUCUGAUAAGUUAGAGGUGAAAUACCGGGGCUCAACUCCGGAACUGCCUCUAAUACUGUUGAACCAGAGAGUAUUUGCGGUAGGCGUAAUGUAUGGUGUAGCGGUGAAAUGCUUAGAGAUCAUACCCAACACCGAUUGCCAAGGCACCUUACCAAAACUAUAUCUGAACCUGAGGUACCAAAGCGUGGGGGAGCAAACAGGAUUAGAUACCCCUGGUAUUCCACGCAGUAAACGAUGAUAACUGGUUGUUGGCGAUACACAGUCGGUGACUAAGCGAAAGCGAUAAGUUAUCCACCUGGGGGAGUACGUUCGCAAGAAUGAAACUCAAAGGAAUUGACGGGGGCCCGCACAAGCGGAGGAACAUGUGGUUUAAUUCGAUGAUACGCGAGGAACCUUACCCGGGCUUGAAAGUUAGUGACGAUUCUGGAAACAGGAUUUCCCUUCGGGGCACGAAACUAGGUGCUGCAUGGUUGUCGUCAGCUCGUGCCGUGAGGUGUCGGGUUAAGUCCCAUAACGAGCGCAACCCCUACCGUUAGUUGCCAUCAGGUCAAGCUGGGCACUCUGGCGGGACUGCCGGUGUAAGCCGAGAGGAAGGUGGGGAUGACGUCAAAUCAGCACGGCCCUUACGUCCGGGGCUACACACGUGUUACAAUGGUAGGUACAGAGGGCCGCUACCCCGUGAGGGGAUGCCAAUCUCGAAAGCCUAUCUCAGUUCGGAUCGGAGGCUGAAACCCGCCUCCGUGAAGUUGGAUUCGCUAGUAAUCGCGCAUCAGCCAUGGCGCGGUGAAUACGUUCCCGGGCCUUGUACACACCGCCCGUCAAGCCAUGGAAGCUGGGGGUGCCAGAAGUUCGUGACCGCAAGGAGCGA
rnacentral:rRNA from 1 species